rnacentral:rRNA from 1 species
UACGUAGGGCGCAAGCGUUGUCCGGAAUUACUGGGCGUAAAGGGCUCGUAGGCGGCCAACUAAGUCAGACGUGAAAUCCCUCGGCUUAACCGGGGAACUGCGUCUGAUACUGGAUGGCUAGAGGUUGGGAGAGGGAUGCGGAAUUCCAGGUGUAGCGGUGAAAUGCGUAGAUAUCUGGAGGAACACCGGUGGCGAAGGCGGCAUCCUGGACCAAUUCUGACGCUGAGGAGCGAAAGCCAGGGGAGCAAACGGG